GACAGAGGGUGCGAACGUUGUUCGGAAUUACUGGGCGUAAAGCGCGUGUAGGCGGCAGCGCAAGUCGGGCGUGAAAUCCCACGGCUCAACCGUGGAAGUGCACUCGAAACUGCGCAGCUAGAGUCCUGGAGAGGAAGGUGGAAUUCCCGGUGUAGUGGUGAAAUGCGUAGAUAUCGGGAGGAACACCAGUGGCGAAGGCGGCAUCCUGGCCCUGUCCUGACGCUCAGGGGCGAAAGCGUGGGGAGCAAACAGG
rnacentral:rRNA from 1 species